AAUGCGGGCGAGAAACCCGCACACCGAAAGACUAAGGUUUCCUCAGCUAUGCUAAUCAGCUGAGGGUUAGUCGGGACCUAACGCGAACCCGAAAGGGGUAGUGGAUGGACAACAGGUUAAUAUUCCUGUACCUGCUCACAAUAAAAGUGACGGAGGCGUGAAUUUGGUGCGUACUGACGGAAUAGUACGUUGAAGCUAGUGGUAACACGGCAAUAGUACACUGAAACUUCGGUGAAUGUGAUAAUCCAGAGUAACGACUUCCAAGAAAAACAAGUGAAGCAGCCCGUACCCUAAACCGACACAGGUAGUCGGGAUGAGAAUUCUAAGGUGCUCGAGUGAUUCAUGGCUAAGGAACUAGGCAAAAUAGACCCGUAACUUCGGGAGAAGGGUCGCCCAUCUUCGGAUGGGCCGCAGUGAAAAGGUCCAGGCGACUGUUUAUCAAAAACACAGGGCUAUGCUAAAUCGAAAGAUGAUGUAUAUGGCCUGACACCUGCCCGGUGCUGGAAGGUUAAGUGGAGGGUUUAGCUUCGGCGAAGAUCUGAAAUGAAGCCCCAGUAAACGGCGGCCGUAACUAUAACGGUCCUAAGGUAGCGAAAUUCCUUGUCGGGUAAGUUCCGACCUGCACGAAUGGUGCAACGAUCUGGACACUGUCUCGGCCAUGAGCUCGGUGAAAUUGUAGUAUCGGUGAAGAUGCCGAUUACCCGCAGUGGGACGAAAAGACCCCGUGAACCUUUACUAUAGCUUAGUAUUGGCUUUGGAUAAGUAAUGUGUAGCAUAGGUGGAAGACUUUGAAGCGACAUCGCUAGGUGUUGUGGAGUCGAACCGUGAAAUACCACCCUUUGCUUAUCUGAAGUCUAACCUCUUUCGAGGGACAGUGCUUGGUGGGUAGUUUGACUGGGGUGGUCGCCUCCAAAAGAGUAACGGAGGCUUCUAAAGGUUCCCUCAGCACGCUUGGUAACCGUGCGUAGAGUGCAAUGGCAUAAGGGAGCUUGACUGAGAGACUGACAAGUCGAUCAGGUACGAAAGUAGAGCAUAGUGAUCCGGUGGUUCCGUAUGGAAGGGCCAUCGCUCAAAGGAUAAAAGGUACUCCGGGGAUAACAGGCUGAUCUCCCCCAAGAGCUCAUAUCGACGGGGGGGUUUGGCACCUCGAUG
rnacentral:rRNA from 1 species